rnacentral:rRNA from 1 species
CGUACACUCCUACGGGAGGCAGCAGUAGGGAAUCUUCCACAAUGGGUGCAAACCUGAUGGAGCAAUGCCGCGUGAGUGAAGAAGGUCUUCGGAUCGUAAAGCUCUGUUGUUAGAGAAGAACACGUGCUAGGUAACUACUAGCGCCUUGACGGUAUCUAACCAGAAAGUCACGGCUAACUACGUGCCAGCAGCCGCGGUAAUACGUAGGUGACAAGCGUUGUCCGGAUUUAUUGGGCGUAAAGGGAGCGCAGGCGGUCUGUUUAGUCUAAUGUGAAAGCCCACGGCUUAACCGUGGAACGGCAUUGGAAACUGACAGACUUGAAUGUAGAAGAGGAAAAUGGAAUUCCAAGUGUAGCGGUGGAAUGCGUAGAUAUUUUGAGGAACACCAGUGGCGAAGGCGAUUUUCUGGUCUAACAUUGACGCUGAGGCUCGAAAGCGUGGGGAGCGAACAGGAUUAGAAACCCCUGUAGUCCCAUGA